UACGUAGGGUGCAGGCGUUAAUCGGAAUUACUGGGCGUAAAGCGUGCGUAGGCGGUUUGUUAAGACAGGUGUGAAAUCCCCGGGCUUAACCUGGGAACUGCGCUUGUUACUGGCAGACUGGAGUGUGGCAGAGGGGGGGUGGAAUUCCAGGUGUAGCAGUGAAAUGCGUAGAUAUCUGGAGGAACACCGAUGGCGAAGGCAGCCCCCCUGGGCUAACACUGACGCUGAGGCACGAAAGCGUGGGGAGCAAACAGG
rnacentral:rRNA from 1 species